rnacentral:rRNA from 1 species
GCAUAUCAAUAAGCGGAGGAAAAGAAACCAACAGGGAUUGCCUUAGUAACGGCGAGCGAAGCGGCAAUAGCUCAAAUUUGAAAUCUGGCGUCUUUGGCGUCCGAGUUGUAAUUUCAAGAAGUGUCUUCUGGUUUGGCCCUUGCAUAUGUUCCUUGGAACAGGACGUCAUAGAGGGUGAGAAUCCCGUAUAUGGUGAGGUGACCAUUUCCUUUGUAAGACGCUCUCUAAGAGUCGAGUUGUUUGGGAAUGCAGCUCUAAGUGGGUGGUAAAUUCCAUCUAAAGCUAAAUAUUGGCGAGAGACCGAUAGCGAACAAGUACUGUGAAGGAAAGAUGAAAAGAACUUUGAAAAGAGAGUGAAAAAGUACGUGAAAUUGCUGAAAGGGAAGGGCUUGAGAUCAGACUUGGUAUUCAGUGAUCAGCUGUCUUUCGGGACUGUGCACUCGCUGUUUACUGGGCCAACAUCAGUUUGGAUGGCGAGAUAAUGACAAUUGAAUGUGGCUCCUUCUUCGGAGGGAGUGUUAUAGCUUUUGUUGAUAUCGCCUAUCCGGAUUGAGGACCGCGCUUCGGCUAGGAUGUUGGCGUAAUGAUCUUAAGCCACCCGUCUUGAAACACGGACCAAGGAGUCUAACGUCUAUGCGAGUGUUUGGGUGUAAAACCC